ACGGUACCUGCAAAAGAAGCACCGGCCAACUACGUGCCAGCAGCCGCGGUAAUACGUAGGGUGCGAGCGUUGUCCGGAAUUAUUGGGCGUAAAGGGCUCGUAGGCGGUUUGCCACGUCGGGAGUGAAAACUCGGGGCUCAACCCCGAGCUUGCUUCCGAUACGGGCUAACUAGAGGUAUGCAGGGGAGAACGGAAUUCCUGGUGUAGCGGUGAAAUGCGCAGAUAUCAGGAGGAACACCGGUGGCGAAGGCGGUUCUCUGGGCAUUACCUGACGCUGAGGAGCGAAAGUGUGGGGAGCGAACAGGAUUAGAUACCCUGGUAGUCCACACCGUAAACGUUGGGCGCUAGGUGUGGGACUCAUUCCACGAGUUCCGUGCCGCAGCUAACGCAUUAAGCGCCCCGCCUGGGGAGUACGGCCGCAAGGCUAAAACUCAAAGGAAUUGACGGGGGCCCGCACAAGCGGCGGAGCAUGCGGAUUAAUUCGAUGCAACGCGAAGAACCUUACCUAGGUUUGACAUAUACGAGAAGCCUCUAGAGAUAGAGGUCUCUUUGGAC
rnacentral:rRNA from 1 species